rnacentral:rRNA from 1 species
UGGGGAAUAUUGCACAAUGGGGGAAACCCUGAUGCAGCGACGCCGCGUGAACGAAGAAGGUAUUCGUAUCGUAAAGUUCUGUCCUAUGGGAAGAUAAUGACAGUACCAUAAAAGAAAGCUCCGGCUAAAUACGUGCCAGCAGCCGCGGUAAUACGUAUGGAGCGAGCGUUGUCCGGAAUUAUUGGGCGUAAAGGGUACGCAGGCGGUUUAAUAAGUCGAAUGUUAAAGAUCGGGGCUCAACCCCGUAAAGCAUUGGAAACUGAUAAACUUGAGUAGUGGAGAGGAAAGUGGAAUUCCUAGUGUAGUGGUGAAAUACGUAGAUAUUAGGAGGAAUACCAGUAGCGAAGGCGACUUUCUGGACACAAACUGACGCUGAGGUACGAAAGCGUGGGGAGCAAACAGG